AUCCAAAUGACGAGUCCAAAAUAGGACGAAAUGGUACACAUCUUGGAC
rnacentral:hammerhead_ribozyme from 1 species